UACGGAGGGUGCAAGCGUUAUCCGGAUUCACUGGGUUUAAAGGGUGCGUAGGUGGGCAAGUAAGUCAGUGGUGAAAUCUCCGGGCUUAACCCGGAAACUGCCAUUGAUACUAUUUGUCUUGAAUACUGUGGAGGUCAGCGGAAUAUGUCAUGUAGCGGUGAAAUGCUUAGAUAUGACAUAGAACACCAAUUGCGAAGGCAGCUGGCUACACAAAUAUUGACACUGAGGCACGAAAGCGUGGGGGUCAAACAGG
rnacentral:rRNA from 1 species